GUGCCCUUUGAGACUGCUUUGAGACCUUGCUCUCAACAAAGAGUAAAGUAUUUAGAGCUUCUAAUUCCACUUUUCCUUAAGGGAGGAUGAACUCUGUAGCAAUUACCUUGUGACUUCUGAGGAUCACCUUUGGAAGGCUUGGUGUUACGAACAUUGGGAUAAGAAUUUUACAAAACAUCAAAAAGGACCUCUUUCAAAUCAUCAGCACCUUCAGAAUUUUUCUUCUGAGCCAUAGAGAACAAAAAUUGUGAAUUAGCACUUUCUCUAACCUUAUUAAAGAAGAGCACAGGCAGCAGUGAUCCAUACACUCAGGAUGGCUGACCUGGGUGGUCUUCUACGUCAAAGAACUUCAAUAACUCUAAUCCACCAUGGAAAGGAGUAGCAGGUAAGAGGAUAUGGGGGGGACAAUCAUAUGGAUGAAAGACAUCCUCAUUAUCGGAGGUGAGUUAAUACCUAGAAAGAAUCCAGGCUAUUUUCAUCUAGUGAUCCCAUUCUUUUAUUAAAUUUGAUAGACACUCCUUCUCCCUCCACCCUCCUACCCCAGGCACACAAAGGCAUGCGAUUCUUA